rnacentral:rRNA from 1 species
CCUACGGGUAGCAGCAGUGAGGAAUAUUGGUCAAUGGCCGAGAGGCUGAACCAGCCAAGUAGCGUGAGGGAAGACGGCCCUACGGGUUGUAAACCUCUUUUGUAGGGGAGCAAAGCGAGUCACGUGUGACUCAUUGAGAGUACCCGAAGAAAAAGCAUCGGCUAACGCCGUGCCAGCAGCCGCGGUAAUCCGGGGGUUGAGAGCGUUAUCCGGAUUUAUGGGGUUUACAGGGUGCGCAGGCGGAGGUGCAAGUCAGCGGUCAAAUUGCGGGGCUCAACCCCGUACUGCCGUUGAAACUGCAUCCCUUGAGUGCGCGAGAAGUAUGCGGAAUGCGUGGUGUAGCGGUGAAAUGCAUAGAUAUCACGCAGAACUCCGAUUGCGAAGGCAGCAUACCGGCGCGCAACUGACGCUCAUGCACGAAAGCGUGGGUAUCGAACAGGAUGAGAUACCCUUGUAGUC